UACGUAGGGUGCGAGCGUUAAUCGGAAUUACUGGGCGUAAAGCGCGCGCAGGCGGCGCGUUAAGUCAGGUGUGAAAGCCCCGAGCUUAACUUGGGAAUUGCGCUUGUGACUGGCGUGCUGGAGUGUGGCAGAGGGAGGUGGAAUUCCACGUGUAGCAGUGAAAUGCGUAGAGAUGUGGAGGAACACCGAUGGCGAAGGCAGCCUCCUGGGCCAGCACUGACGCUCAUGCACGAAAGCGUGGGGAGCAAACAGG
rnacentral:rRNA from 1 species